AGUGGCGGACGGGUGAGUAACGCGUGAGAAUCUGCCUUGGGGUCGGGGACAACCACUGGAAACGGUGGCUAAUACCGGAUACGCCUUCGGGUAAAAGAUUUAUUGCCCUAAGAGGAGCUCGCGUCUGAUUAGCUAGUUGGUGAGGUAAGAGCUCACCAAGGCAGCGAUCAGUAGCUGGUCUGAGAGGACGAUCAGCCACACUGGGACUGAGACACGGCCCAGACUCCUACGGGAGGCAGCAGUGGGGAAUUUUCCGCAAUGGGCGAAAGCCUGACGGAGCAAGACCGCGUGAGGGAGGAAGGCUCUUGGGUUGUAAACCUCUUUUCUCAGGGAAGAAGCUCUGACGGUACCUGAGGAAUCAGCCUCGGCUAACUCCGUGCCAGCAGCCGCGGUAAUACGGAGGAGGCAAGCGUUAUCCGGAAUUAUUGGGCGUAAAGCGUCCGCAGGUGGCGAUUCAAGUCUGCUGUCAAAGCACGGGGCUUAACUCCGUAAAGGCAGUGGAAACUGAAUAGCUAGAGUGCCGUAGGGGUAGAGGGAAUUCCCGGUGUAGCGGUGAAAUGUAGAGAUCGGGAAGAACAUCGGUGGCGAAAGCGCUCUACUGGACGGCAACUGACACUCAGGGACGAAAGCUAGGGGAGCGAAUGGGAUUAGAUACCCC
rnacentral:rRNA from 1 species